rnacentral:rRNA from 1 species
AGAAUCAACGCUGGCGGCGUGCCUAACACGUGCAAGUCGAACGAGAAAGUGGAGCAAUCCAUGCGUAAAGUGGCGCACGGGUGAGUAACACGUGACUAACCUAUCCUUGAGUGGGGAAUAACUGAGGGAACCUUAGCUAAUACCGCAUAACACCUACGGGUCAAAGGAGCAAUUCGCUUAAGGAGGGGUCGCGGCAGAUUAGUUAGUUGGCGGGGUAAUGGCCCACCAAGACAGUGAUCUGUA